GGACGGGUGAGUAACGCGUGAGCAAUCUGCCUUGGAGUGGGGAAUAACGGCUGGAAACAGCCGCUAAUACCGCAUGAAACAGUUGAGAGGCAUCUCUCUGACUGUCAAAGAUUUAUCGCUCUGAGAUGAGCUCGCGUCUGAUUAGCUAGUUGGCGGGGC
rnacentral:ncRNA from 1 species